rnacentral:rRNA from 1 species
CCCACGGGGGGCAGCAGUGGGGAAUAUUGGACAAUGGGGGGAACCCUGAUCCAGCCAUGCCGCGUGUGUGAAGAAGGCCCUCGGGUUGUAAAGCACUUUCAGUGAGGAAGAACGCCUGGUGGUUAAUACCCAUCAGGAAAGACAUCACUCACAGAAGAAGCACCGGCUAACUCCGUGCCAGCAGCCGCGGUAAUACGGAGGGUGCGAGCGUUAAUCGGAAUUACUGGGCGUAAAGCGCGCGUAGGUGGCUUGAUAAGCCGGUUGUGAAAGCCCCGGGCUCAACCUGGGAACGGCAUCCGGAACUGUCAAGCUAGAGUGCAGGAGAGGAAGGUAGAAUUCCCGGUGUAGCGGUGAAAUGCGUAGAGAUCGGGAGGAAUACCAGUGGCGAAGGCGGCCUUCUGGACUGACACUGACACUGAGGUGCGAAAGCGUGGGUAGCAAACAGGAUUAGAUACCCCUGUAGUC